rnacentral:rRNA from 1 species
AGAUUGAACGCUGGCGGCGUGCUUAACACAUGCAAGUCGAGCGGUAACGCGGGAGCAAUCCUGGCGACGAGCGGCGAACGGGUGAGUAAUGCUUGGGAAUCUGCCCAUUAGUGGGGAACAACCAGCCGAAAGGUUGGCUAAUACCGCAUACGCCCUACGGGGGAAAGCGGGGGAUCGAAAGACCUCGCGCUAAUGGAUGAGCCCAAGUCGGAUUAGCUUGUUGGUAGGGUAACGGCCUACCAAGGCGACAAUCCGUAGCUGGUCUGAGAGGACGACCAGCCACACUGGGGACUGAGACACGGCCCAGACUCCUACGGGAGGCAGCAGUGGGGGAAUAUUGGACAAUGGGGGGCAACCCUGAUCCAGCGACGCCGCGUGUGUGAAGAAGGCCUGCGGGUUGUAAAGCACUUUUAGUGGGGAUGAAAAGCUCAGGGUUAACACCUCUGGGUCUUGACCUAACCCACAGAAAAAGCACCGGCUAACUCUGUGCCAGCAGCCGCGGU